GACGAACGCUGGCGGCGUGCUUAACACAUGCAAGUCGAACGGUAAGGCCCUUCGGGGUACACGAGUGGCGAACGGGUGAGUAACACGUGGGUGAUCUGCCCUGCACUUCGGGAUAAGCCUGGGAAACUGGGUCUAAUACCGGAUAGGACCCUGGGAUGCAUGUCCUGGGGUGGAAAGCUUUUGCGGUGUGGGAUGGGCCCGCGGCCUAUCAGCUUGUUGGUGGGGUGAUGGCCUACCAAGGCGACGACGGGUAGCCGGCCUGAGAGGGUGACCGGCCACACUGGGACGGAGAUAGGGCCCAGACUCCUACGGGGGGCAGCAGUGGGGAAGAUUGCACAAUGGGCGCAAGCCUGAUGCAGCGACGCCGCGUGAGGGAUGACGGCCUUCGGGUUGUAAACCUCUUUCAGCACCGACGAAGCGCAAGUGACGGUAGGUGCAGAAGAAGGACCGGCCAACUACGUGCCAGCCGCCGCCGUAA
rnacentral:rRNA from 1 species